UACGUAGGGGGCAAGCGUUGUCCGGAUUUAUUGGGCGUAAAGAGCUCGUAGGCGGUUCCGUAAGUCGAGUGUGAAAAAUCUGGGCUCAACCCAGUGGAGCACUCGAUACUGCGGUGACUAGAGUACGGUAGAGGAGUGUGGAAUUCCUGGUGUAGCGGUGAAAUGCGCAGAUAUCAUGAGGAAUACCAGAGGCGAAGGCGGCUACCUGGACAAUUGCUGACGCUCAGGCACGAAAGCGUGGGAGCAAAAGGG
rnacentral:rRNA from 1 species